ensembl:lncRNA
CUCAGGUGGAAGAAAGAGUGGCCAUGGCCUAGCAGACCCCACCUUGCAACCAAGCCUUUCCCUGCUGGCCCUGCUCCUAUUGCCAGUAGAAAGGAGAAGGGUGGGCAGGGAAAAAAGCCACUCGAACUUGCCUGCAGCUGAUGUGAGGGGCCAGACUGGACAGCCAGCAACAAAAAGGGGUCAGAAACCAGCCUUGAGUCAACUCCACAGCCUUUUUUGCAUGUAAAGCACAAGAAUGGAAUGACUUCAGAGUCUGAGUCCAGCUGCCCCCCAUUUGGCUCAUGGCAGGACAAAUCUAGUGACUCUGUAAUCUGUGUGCCAGGCAUUUUUUGAAGCAGGAACAUAAUUUAAUUCCCUUUAAGGAGAUCAAAACCAGGAAACGUUUAAGUAGGACUUCCUGCCCAGUGUGAAAUACAAAUUCUUUUCAUCAUGGAAAGCAAACUGAGCUUAAACAAUAGCAUAAUGAAAGUGGUUAUGCAAUGAAGUUGUAAGAGAUCAAAGCCGAUUUUGGUUUUCAAUUAAGAUAACAAGGUACCUGGCUAAAGGAAGCUAGUGGUAAUCCACUGCCUAACUGUUUAAAGAAACACAAACACUUGCCCAUUAAUUUGCUGCAUGCACAGAAGAAAAUGAGGCAGCAGAUGAAUUUGUUCUUACAGUCAGGAUUUGAAACUGGGAAAUGUGCUGCUUGAAUUUAUCUGUAUCAGAGACCACAAGAGGACCAGAUUCAUCCUCCAGUUUUGUAGUGCCUACAAUUUCAGGCCAGAAGGGACCGUCCAACACCCUUCAGUCUGCCAUCUUGCAUUUCCAGACAAGGGUCCCAUUACCCCACAUAAUGUGAGGAUGAAGCUGGACAGGUGCUACCUGCCUGCAUCCCACCCCAGCGCACGAGGUCUGGUCAUGCACAGCCCCUCAGCAGGAAGCUGUUUGUAUAUUUGCACUGGGGGAAAAGGAGAAAGAGCAGGAGGGAUUGGCUCCCUCUGCAUGCACCAAGUUGUCCACAAGUGCUGCGUGCUGUCGGCAACUUCUCCUUGGACCAUUAAGAGCGAGGGCUGGGUUCCUCAGCACAGCAGUGGCCAUGCAGGUGCAUGAGCACAGCAGGAGAGUGCCAGUUGCAUUGCUGCCAAAAGCUGUGUGUCCAGAACUGCAUCCCAGUGGCCCCUUGGAUUUCAUUCCUCUGGAUGCUUUCUGGAAGAACGGGGACAACUGUGAAGUGCCCAGGCCCCCAGCAACAGGGAUGCAUCAGUAAAUGCGAGUAACUCAAGGAAGUAAACGGUUGGACCAGGCUGUCUUCAAAACUGUCCUGACUGUCUUGUGAGUUCCCUCACUUCUAAGAACUGGCAUCAGUGAAGUAUAUGGAAUGGGGCAGAUUUUAAAUUCCCCACCUGGAAAGCAAAUACCAAAGUCACAAGCUGCUGUCGCCUUUGGUACCUGCAGGGACUGGCCCCAUCAAACACAGUUAGCACAUGCCAGGGAGAGAAGGACCUUUUCUUCAGUGUUUACUGCAUCUUCUGUCCAGCAUCCUUGCACAGCACUGAGCAGGGACAGUGAUGUGUCAGCUCCAGGGGUGACACUGCCAGGAUGCAGCAUGGUGCCUGGGCACUAAUCAUUAUUUUUAACACUACAUGCAUGCCAGGGUAUUUUAGUGUGUAAGGAUGUGCAGUGCCAAGUUGGGUCAGAGCUUGAAGUUAGAUUAUUUUUCCAUAAAGUGAGAGCUUUGCAAAUUUCAGGCUUGGAUAAAUAAUUACUGCCCUUUUUUUAAGGAUUUUAUUUACAAGAGCAUCAAAAUGAAAGUGACAGCAGUGAUAGCAAGUAAAUUACCACUGCCUAAUUGGGCCCAAAGAUAAUUUAGGGCCUGAAAUGUCCCUUCGUGUAGACUGACAGAGAAAAGAAAAGCAUACCAGACACAUGCACAUUGGCUUUACCAGUUCUUAAAUUUCUUAUUUUUCUGCUAAUCACUGAAGUGUGAAAAACAUGCUAUGUUCUUCCCUGCUGCUUUUUCUGUAACCAGAUACUUGUAGGACUUGCAGUUGGAGAUGUUUAUUCAUCAUUAGACACAGAGACAAAGUUAUCAGGUACUAUUUGCUGACAUUGUCGAGUUAUAGAAUCAUUAAGGUUGGAAAAGACCACUAGGAUCAUCUAGUUCAGCCAUCAACCCAUUCCCACCAUGCCCACUAACCAUGUCCCUCAGUGCCACAUCCACAUGGUUUUUGAGUCUCAGAAGCUCUGCUGCUCUGAACAUCUCAGGCAGUCCUGCUCAGUGAUGGCUGGAUUCAGUGCUAAAAAUGCCAGUAUUGGCUGCUGCGCUCAUGAAUAGACCUCAUUCCUUGACAGUGAGAGCCCAAAAUGUCACAGAGGCACUUGUACAUCCUUGCAGAACUGUCCCUCAAAAGUGAGCAGCAGAGGCAAAGCCCUUAUCACCAUGUCACUGGUUAUAGAACAACAACAACAAAAAAGCCUUUAAUUAUUGCACUGGAAACAAAAUUACUUACAUGUGGUAGGUGCAAAGGGAUUCACCAGCAAACUAUUUGAUGUAGGCUCCUAACUGAAUAGAAAUGUUGAUGGCUUCAAGGUUUUAUGCCACAGCAGUUUAGAUCACCAGGACUGAAUAACUAUUUGAGAAUGAACUUUUAAGUUAAAGGUUACUGUUCUGCAUGUCCUAAGGGAUUUUGUUCAAACAUAAGCUCGUUUGUUUGUUGGCUUGUUUUUUAAAGAUAUAAAUGGAGAUAAUUUCUCAAAUAAUUUCAUAGUUUUAUAACGUAAGGUGCACAUAACAAAUCCACAGAUAGAAGAAUAUAGCCCCAACCUCUACAUAGCAUUGGAAUAUGACUCUAAAAAAACACAAGAACAUUGAGGGAGCAUGCCUUAUCCCACAGGAUUCAAGACAAAGAAAGGGCAUGCCAGGCUGUAAAGUUUAAAAAAGCUCUGUGACUGAAUUACAUGAAAAAGGGCUCAAUCACAGAAGAAAAUACAGCUAGGUUAAUGGGGAAGAUGUCACUUUUACAGGUGUAGAGACUUGCUAGAUCCGAUUUAUCAUCAGAAGCCAAACUUGUGAAAUUUACCUUGCUCUCUAGCAAAAAAAUAAAUAGAAAGCAUCAUUCUAAAAAGAAUGCUUU